GCUAUACAUGCAAGUUGAGCGCUGAAGGUUGGUACUUGUACCGACUGGAUGAGCAGCGAACGGGUGAGUAACGCGUGGGGAAUCUGCCUUUGAGCGGGGGACAACAUUUGGAAACGAAUGCUAAUACCGCAUAAAAACUUUAAACACAAGUUUUAAGUUUGAAAGAUGCAAUUGCAUCACUCAAAGAUGAUCCCGCGUUGUAUUAGCUAGUUGGUGAGGUAAAGGCUCACCAAGGCGAUGAUACAUAGCCGACCUGAGAGGGUGAUCGGCCACAUUGGGACUGAGACACGGCCCAAACUCCUACGGGAGGCAGCAGUAGGGAAUCUUCGGCAAUGGACGAAAGUCUGACCGAGCAACGCCGCGUGAGUGAAGAAGGUUUUCGGAUCGUAAAACUCUGUUGGUAGAGAAGAACGUUGGUGAGAGUGGAAAGCUCAUCAAGUGACGGUAACUACCCAGAAAGGGACGGCUAACUACGUGCCAGCAGCCGCGGUAAUACGUAGGUCCCGAGCGUUGUCCGGAUUUAUUGGGCGUAAAGCGAGCGCAGGUGGUUUAUUAAGUCUGGUGUAAAAGGCAGUGGCUCAACCAUUGUAUGCAUUGGAAACUGGUAGACUUGAGUGCAGGAGAGGAGAGUGGAAUUCCAUGUGUAGCGGUGAAAUGCGUAGAUAUAUGGAGGAACACCGGUGGCGAAAGCGGCUCUCUGGCCUGUAACUGACACUGAGGCUCGAAAGCGUGGGGAGCAAACAGGAUUAGAUACCCUGGUAGUCCACGCCGUAAACGAUGAGUGCUAGAUGUAGGGAGCUAUAAGUUCUCUGUAUCGCAGCUAACGCAAUAAGCACUCCGCCUGGGAGUACGACCGCAAGGUUGAAACUCAAAGGAAUUGACGGGGGCCCGCACAGCGGUGGAGCAUGUGUUUAAUUCGAAGCAACGCGAAAACCU
rnacentral:rRNA from 1 species